AGAGUUUGAUCCUGGCUCAGAACGAACGUUAGCGGCGCGCCUAACACAUGCAAGUCGAGCGAGAAGGAAGCAAUUCCUGUAAAGCGGCGCACGGGUGAGUAACACGUAGGUAAUCUGCCUCGAGGUGGUGGAUAACCUUCCGAAAGGAGGGCUAAUACAGCAUGAGACCACGUCUUCGAAAGAGGAUGAGGUUAAAGCGGGCCUCUAUACAUAAGCUCGCGCCAUGAGAUGAGCCUGCGGCCCAUCAGGUAGUUGGUAGGGUAACGGCCUACCAAGCCAAAGACGGGUAGCUGGUCUGAGAGGACGACCAGCCACACUGGAACUGAGACACGGUCCAGACUCCUACGGGAGGCAGCAGUGGGGAAUUUUGGACAAUGGGCGCAAGCCUGAUCCAGCCAUGCCGCGUGAGUGAAGAAGGCCUA
rnacentral:rRNA from 1 species